rnacentral:lncRNA from 1 species
UGUUUCUCUCCCCUUUAUAUAAUAAAAAAAUAGGGUUUUGAACUUUUGAUAUAUAAGAAACAGCCAAAAGUAAUCUUGGUAGACACCAACCAGCUAUUUUACGUUACAAUAUUGGGGUAAUAAAAGAGUGAGAAAAACAACACAAGUUUCUUCCUUUCUUGCUUUGCUGCUUUUUCUUUGUUUAAAUGAGUUCAAAAAAUAGAGAUAAUGACAAGAACCUCAAAGAAAAAAGAGCAGACUCAAAUAAACCUCAUAAUAAUG